rnacentral:misc_RNA from 1 species
GCUAUAAGCAAGCACCUUGAUGUAGAGGAAUUGGAAAUGCUAUUAGAGGCAUACUUUGUACAAAUUGAUGGUACACUGAACAAACUGUCUACACUGAGGGAGUACGUUGAUGAUACAGAGGACUACAUCAAUAUAAUGCUGGAUGACAAGCAGAAUCACCUCCUGCAAAUGGGCGUCAUGUUAACAACAGCAACUCUAGUGAUNNNNNUGUUGUCGUUGCUGGUAUUUUUGGCAUGAAUAUCCGCAUUGAAUUGUUCAAGGAGGAGACGGAAAUAGGGAUGCAAAAAUUUCUAUGGACUGUUGGGGG